AGCCUGAUGGCCGAGUGGCUAGAACUCUGGUGCUUGGUACCACAGGUUUCGGGUUCGAAACCCGAAUGUUUGUAGUGGUUCGGAAUCCACUUCAAGCCG